rnacentral:lncRNA from 1 species
ACCAAACAAAAUUUGAGUGUUUUCGUAAAAUUCAAAACUGAACUAGUGUUUAGCAAAAUUAGCAGGCAUACAGUGACUACACACGAGCAAGCUCAAUUUGUAGCCUCUCCCCCUCCUGUAACAAUUGUUGAUUCCCAUGUGGGACUAGUGCUCCCAACAAUUGGGAGGGAAAUGAAAUCAACUCCAUUAAAAAGGUUGGAACACUCUGCUAUAAUUUAUAUGAAUUUAUAAAAUUAAUAUACCUAUAAAAUAAGUAUAAUUUUGAAUUUUACAUAAUGUUAUAAAUAUCUUGUAUUUAUUUAUUUAUUUAAUAAUUUCAUCGAUUCAAUUCGAUUCGACCUAGGGAUGUCAAUUCGACUCAAACGUAUCGUAACUAGACCAGUAAAAAGUCCAAGCCAACUUGGGCUGACCCUCAUUUUAUGACAACGAUUCGAACUUGAGCUACCCUGUGUCAUAGGCUCGUUCAGUCAUAGAAAAAGAUUUACAUAGCAUAUUCAAUUUUUCUUUUUUUUUUGUUGUUAACAACUACGUGUAAUAUACCAAAUCAGUAUUCGAUGCUAACUAAAACUAAGAAUAGAGAAAACACUGCAAAAAUGCACAUACCUUGCAAUGUUAGUGUAAUAUACCAAAUCAGUAUUCGAUGCUAACUAAAACUAAGAACAGAGAAAACACUGAAAAAAGGCAUAUACCUUGCAAUGUUAAAAAUUGAAACAUAAUUUAACAUAAUAUACGAGUAUAUUAACUAUUUGAUGUUUAAACUGCAUUGUAGAUCAACAAGAAGCAACGGCCCAAAUGUUUUUCAUAAAAAGAAAGGAAUAAAUUUUAGUGAAAUAUAACUAUUUUCCGGUGCUUGGUCCACUAAAAAUAUAAUAAUUAGCUUAGAGAUAUUUUGUCCCUUUUGUUCAAUAAUUGCAUUGAUACUUCAUGGAAAAAGAUGCAAGUACAGGGCUGUCAAGUGAGAGCGGAGGUGGGGGCCAACUUUUUUUAAUGUGUGUGGGGUCCAACUCCUACAGUGAGGCCCUUGUGAACCGACCUCCUAUACGUGGAGCUCGGUCCUUCAGGAAAACUUUCCAACCUCCUCCUGACAUGACAGGCCCUUCCUUUGGUUCAAUAAUUGAAUUUUGCUCUUAAUUAAGGUUCUUGGUAAACGUGAGUCUACUUCCUUGUUUGGCCCCCACUUUGUAGAAAAGAAAAUGGAUGGAAUAGUAUUUUUUUAAAAAUUAAUGGUUGAAAAAGAAAGAAAAGUUUUCUGUUCACGUGUAAUAUAAUUUUAUAGAAAAUUAUGUGGUUGAAAAUAAAAGAGAGAAAAACGAAAUAUAAUGAAAAGAAAAUUAAUGGGGCCAAACGUACUAAAAAAAUGUAUAUGACACCCUAUAGCUUUCUCCCACUUCUUUAUUCUAUUGUAACAUAUUCAUUUAUCUUUGCUCCUUGCCCCGUUUGUUUUAGGAUUUUCAAGAUUAUUCUAUUCAAAGUAAAAAUAUUAUAAUCGAUAAAAUUUCCAGUGAUUAUUCUUAUUAAAUAAUUAUUAAUAAAUGAUUAUUUGAAUCAAUUUUGCAUCUUUGGUCCCGAAGCGUUUCGAGUGAUUGACUCGAUUGGAGGAGAUUUGGUCCCAUACUCACAACGUCCAAUAUAAUAUUUAUUUUUGUCAAAUCAAAUCACUAGACUUUGUUAGGGGAUAAAUAAAUAUUUUUAUAAUUUUCUUUUGCAUUAAUUUUGAUAGAAUCGUGGUUUUAAUUAACGUCUAUUGUAUUGUUGCCACGUUCCAUACCGUGACGUCAUAAUAAAUAGAAGGUUACAAUGAAAAAACUUCAAAAUCUUAAUGACAAUUAAAAUAUGGUAAUAAAUCUUUUAUUUUAUUUUAUUAUUUUUAUUUUUUGUAUAUUACAAUAUCUAAUUUUUAGACAUGUAAUGUUUUAAAAUUGUUCCAUUAUAGAAAAUGAAGUGUGAAACGAGAAAAUAGGGUUGAACAAAAAGAAGAAAAAGUGAGUGGAAAGACAAUCGUCAAUGGGAAGUUGUGAUCUAUGUUUUUAUCUGUAAAAUGUCACCAAUCUUUCCAAAUAAACAAAGAAAUCUCGAAGAAAAUUGAUAAUAUAAAAGGAGGAUGCUGUUUCAAGAUUGAAACAAACCAUUAAUCAAUUUGCAUUAUCAACUCUAUGAUGUUUCCCAAUUGACAAUUACUAGUUUAUAUGUUUUUAAAAUUUAUAUUAUUAUUAAAAGUAGUUGAAUAACAAUCAAUCCAGUAAUUUUUUAUAAUUGAUAUAAAUUACUAUGACAUCCAAGUUUGAGGAUGUGAUCGCCAAAACUAUAAGAUUGGGGGCCGCUUUGGUGAAAAAAAAAAAAUAAUAAAGAAAGAAAGAAAAAAAGAAAAAUUCUUCUUUGCUCCUUGCCCUGUUUAUUUUGGAAUAUUCCUCCCAUUUUGUUUGGAUUUCACCUCAUUCAUAUAAUUAUUAUUAUGAUCGUUAAAUGUUUCAUUGAUUAAAUAAUUAUUAAUAUUUGAUUCUUACUUGUUUUGAUCUGGAUCAAUCUCUCUGCUUUGGCCCUGAAGUGUUUUGAGUGAUAGGCUUAAUUGGAGGAGAUUCGUAGUCUUCGUUACUAAUUUGGACUCAACUGCAACCAUCUAAUCUGAAACAAUUCAGGUAAAUAUGUACAACUUUUUCAAUUAGCAUUUUGUUAAGAAUAUUAUUUUUGGCUUCUUCGAUGUUAUUUUUUCCCCUAAGAGAGAGUCCUAUAAGCUUGCGUGAUACCAUUUGUUAUAUGUUUAACUUGUAUUUAUAGGUAUUUUACCAUUGAAAUCAAAAAUUUUAUUUAUUUUUUAAACAGAUUCCGACAUCCGGCAAAUCCAACCCUUUAGGUAAAAAUAAGAGAGAGAAGACGCAUGAUCCAUUUUCCAUAAACGAAUUCUUUCAAAUCCUUGUAUCGAGUAUUCACAACAGUUAGUAUAUAUAUAUUUUUUUUAAUGUAUCAAAAUCUAUCAUGCUCGGUCAGUUGAACCAAUAAAAUAGUCGAACGCAUGCGUUUCAACCUUUAAUAUCCACUAUUUAAAACCUGUUAUAAAAUCAGUGAAUCUUCAAUCGGAACUUGAUUGCUAUGGUUUCAGAUUUUUCAAGGUCAAUCUUAACUCAAAAAUAAAGCGCCUGUUUCGUUUGCAUUUCAAUUUUCAAUUUUCAGUUUUCAGUUUUCUAUUUUAAUGUUUCGGUUUAAAUUGUUGAAAACACUUUUGAUUUGUCAUACAUGUACAUUAUAAAAUUGAUAAGUCUUUCAAUGCUUAUUUUUUGCUACAGAAGUAAAAGAAAACUAACUAAUAAAUUAAGUUGUCAGAAUAUAGAAAAUAAAAAAAAUGAAAUUAAUGACAUGAACUGAAUUUUCUAUAUGUGCUCUUUUAAAUAAUUUUUAUAAUUUUUAUUUAAAUAAUUAAAGGGUUUGAACUGUUUUUAUUUUUUAAUUUUAUAUAAUUUUCAUUUUUCAGCAAUUUUUUGGAAUUUUAUUUCUUUAAAAUUUUUUAUUUUUUUAGAAAUUUAUUUUUAACAAAGUUUAGAUUUUACUUUUUUUAUUUUUUUAUUAUUUUUGAAUUUCUCUUCAUAUUUUUUAAUAAAUUUAGGAUUUUAAACUUUAUAUUUACUAGAAUUUCAAUAAUUUUUUAAAAUUUUAUAUUUUUUGUUUUUCAAAGUUUCAAACUUUUAUUUUUAAAUAAAAUUUUAUUUAAACGCUUAUUUUUCAUAUUUUUAACAUUUUCAUUGUAAACGCUCAAACCGUCUAAAAUAUGUUUUAAAUUAUAUAUUAUANNNNNNNNNNNNNNNNNNNNNNNNNNNNNNNNNNNNNNNNNNNNNNNNNNNNNNNNNNNNNNNNNNNNNNNNNNNNNNNNNNNNNNNNNNNNNNNNNNNNNNNNNNNNNNNNNNNNNNNNNNNNNNNNNNNNNNNNNNNNNNNNNNNNNNNNNNNNNNNNNNNNNNNNNNNNNNNNNNNNNNNNNNNNNNNNNNNNNNNNNNNNNNNNNNNNNNNNNNNNNNNNNNNNNNNNNNNNNNNNNNNNNNNNNNNNNNNNNNNNNNNNNNNNNNNNNNNNNNNNNNNNNNNNNNNNNNNNNNNNNNNNNNNNNNNNNNNNNNNNNNNNNNNNNNNNNNNNNNNNNNNNNNNNNNNNNNNNNNNNNNNNNNNNNNNNNNNNNNNNNNNNNNNNNNNNNNNNNNNNNNNNNNNNNNNNNNNNNNNNNNNNNNNNNNNNNNNNNNNGAUAAAUGAUUUUCUUGAAAUUUUUAUUUUUUUGUUUUGGCAAUGAAAACAAAUUUCAUCCCCAAUACCAAUAAAUUAUAUCCCUUUAUUUGACAAUUUUCAUGUAAAACAAAGUCAAAAGGACAUCAAAAAACACUUUAAUUUAAACAUUUUUCACGUGAAAAAUUAUACCAAUCAAACACAAUAAUUUACAAUUCUCAAGAAAAUAAUUGCUCAUCAAUUCAAUUCCCUAAAAUUCAUUUUCUUUCCACCCAAAUUUCACCUUUGCAAUCAAAUGGACCCUAAAUGUUUUAACAAAUUUAUCAGAGUUUGCCCUGUCCAUCCAGGGACCCACAUCAAUGCCCUAUUCGAACAGGCCGACGUGACCCAAUUCGAACAACAUUAUUCAAUUUAGCAUGCAUAUAGUGACCACAUACCAGCAAGUUCUAUUUACAUCCCCUCUCUUUCCCCUAUAACAAUUGUUGAUUUCCACGUGGGACUGGUGCUCCCAACAAUUGGGAUGGAAAUGAAAUCAACUCCAUGAAAAUGUAGGAACACUUUGUUAUAAUUUAUGUGAAUUUUUUAAAUUAAUAUACUACCUAUAAAAUAAGUAUAAUUUUGAAUUUUACAUAAUGUCAUAAAUAUUUUUUGAUUUUAUUUAUUUAUUUAAUAAUUUAAUCAAUUCAAUUCGGUUCGGCCUUUAACCCUUGAUCUUUUAUUUUAUUUCUUUCGAUGUUUGGGCCAAUUUUUUAAAUGUUGCUAUGUUUCUCAACAAUUUAAAAAUAUAUAGUAUAAUUCAAAGAAACACCGUAAAUAAAAAAAAAUUAUUACAUCAUGUCAUUAAAAAUAGUAAUAAUAGAAAAUGACACACACACUCUCAACCAUUAUAUUUGGAAAAUAAAAGAGGGGUAAAAUUGACUUUGCACCAUUUGGUGCAAGGAUUACGCUAUGUGUACAUUGAAGGUAUAUACAAUCCUUUAUGCCUCCCUCAAAGGGGGAGGGGCUCACGCAUAAUAAAUUAUUCAUGGCCCCCCUCCAUAUAAGAGGGGUGUCACCAUAUGUGUACAUCCAUUAUGAAAGUUGGUAAAUUGUAAUUGAAUUAUCUCAGAUGAUUACUUAGGCGUUUGUUUCUCAUUUUUGUAAAAUUGAGAAUGAAAAAUAUAAUCGUUAUGGGUUCCACACAAAAGAUAGAAAUUCAAAUUUGGUGGCUUGAUUUGAUGAAUAACGGUCAUAUUUUUCAUUUUAAUGAGAAAAAAAAUGUUAAACAAACAGGGGCUUCUUAAUUUCUACUGCAAGGUAAAUUGAAAAAGAAGAAUAAUAUUACCCUAGAGACGUUGGUUUUGGUUCAAUAUUUGCACUUCCACGUGCUUUCCAAUCUCCUUCCUGGAAGGAUAUUAUUGCUCAAAGAUGACAGAAUCCAUGUGCUUAAUCUUGAUUGUUAGGUUGGCCUUGACUUCUGAGUCAUUUUGAAGUCAUUUCUUCUUAGUAAACAUGCUAUAUCAUAGAUGAUAUCGUCCUAUACUAAAAAGAAUUCACUCAAACUAGGAGUGGGUAUAUUAACUGUGGAACCUACCCAAACAGACCUGAUGGGUUGGUUUCAUGGGACGUCAGGUCGAUUUUCGAGUUUGCUUGGACUCAAUCAGGAAAAGUUGAUUUAAAGUUCAAAAAAAAAAAAAAAUAUAUAUAUAUAUACUGGGAUAAAGAUAAAGUAUUUUGUGAAAUAAAAAUUAAGAAUCCAGAAUAUAUUAUUAAAACUAAAAAUAUUGAAGCUACAAAUCAAGAUCAGGAAGAUUUUAGAAUGCAUAUAAAUGAUUUAUUAAAAUUAGGAGUUAUCAGAAAAUCAGAAAGUCCUCAUAGGUCAGCAGCCUUUAUAGUUAGAAAACAUUCAGAAAUUAUUAGAGGAAAAAGUAGAAUGGUAAUUAAUUAUAAAUGAUUAAAUGAUAAUACUAUAGAUGAUGCUUAUAAUAUCCCAGAUAAAACAGUUUUAAUAAAUAAGAUACAAGAUUGUAAUAUUUUUAGUAAGUUUGACUUAAAAUCAGGUUUUUGGCAAGUUAAGAUGCACCCAGACUCAAUUGAAUGGACAGCCUUUACUAGUCCAGAAGGACAUUUUGAAUGGCUUGUAAUGCCAUUUGGUUUAAAAAAUGCCCCUAGCAUAUUUCAAAGAAAAAUGGAUAGCAUUUUUAGUAAACAUAAUAAAUUUAUUAUAGUUUAUAUAGAUGAUAUUUUAGUAUUUAGUAAAAAUAGAAGAGAACAUAGAGGUCAUUUACAAAUUCUUUUUUCAGAAUUUAUCAGACAUGGUUUAAUUAUAAAUAAAAAGAAAAUGUUUUUAUUUAAAGAAUAUAUAGAAUUUUUAGGAGUAAAUAUAGGAAGAGGAAAAAUAGAAUUACAACCUCAUAUAGCUCAGAAAGCUUUAGAAUUCCCAGAUAAACUUGAAGAUAUUAAACAAUUACAAAAGUUUUUAGGACUUGUUAAUUAUGCUAGACCCUUUAUUAAGAAUUUAGGAAAAAUUGCAGGACCUUUAUAUGGUAAAACUUCACCAAAAGGUCAAAGAUACUUUAAUAUUGAAGAUGUUAAAUUAGUCCAAAAAAUAAAAGAAAAAUUAAAAGAUUUACCUAAAUUAUCUAUGCCAUUAGAAACAGAUUACUUAAUUAUUGAGACAGACGGUAGUAUAACAGGAUGGGGAGCAAUACUUAUUGCAAAACCCAACAAAUAUUCAGAUAAAGAUACUGAAAAAAUAGUAAGAUAUAAUAGUGGAAAUUAUAAAGAAAAAGGUAAUAUUAGUAGUAUAGAUUUAGAAUUACUUGCAGUAAAUUAUGCAUUAGACUCUUUUGAAUUGUUUAUUAUUUCUAAAAAAGAAAUUACCUUACGAACAGACUGUGAAGCAAUUGUUAGUUUUGUUAAUAAAAUGAAAUUAGAAAAUAAAAGAAGUAAUAGAAGAAGAUGGUUAAAUUUUAUAGAUAGAAUUACUAAUACUGGAUUAGUAAUUAAUUUUGAGCAUAUUAAAGGUAGUGAUAAUCAGAUUGCAGAUAUUUUAAGUAGAAUAAUUAAAAAUAAAGAUUAUGAAUAAUAUUUCUAGAAAGAUGCAAAGACCAAGAGGUCCCAGACCAGGAUUGCCAAUUGUUGGCAGUUCAAGUUCUCAGACAAAUAUACUACAGACUCAUGAUAAGUUAAGAUUUGGUAAUAUAGAACUCAUUUGUUUUCCUAAUAGCAAUAUUAGUUUUAAGACAUUUUCUCAUAUUUCAGUUACAAAGGCAGAAAAAUGUAUUUUAGACAACUUAUGGAUUUCUUAUAAUAAGAAUCCAAAAGACCAAAAAUAUUUUUUAGCAUGUUUAAAUGCUCUUUCAGAACAUUUUAGCCAAGAUCAUAAACAAUUUAAAUGUUAUGUUGUUUUAAAUGGAAGACUUCCAGGAAUUUACCAUACUUGGUUAGAAGUUUCAGAUUGUAUUAAGAAUUUUCCAAAUCCUCUUUACAAAGGAUUUUAUUCAAUUUCAGAAGCAUUAGAAGAAUGUAGAAAAUUUAUAGGUGCAAAUUAUUUUAUUGCUCCUUCUUUAAAAAAUGUUUCAGACCAACCUUUAGAUUAUUUUUCAAGAUUUUGUGAUCAUUGUGAAUGUAUGACAAAGAACUUUAAGAUUUUAAAUGAAUCAAACCAGACUUUACAACAAGAGAAAUUAGUUUUACAAAAGAAAAUCUCUGAUUUAGAACAAGAGAUUAUUAAUUUAAAAAUUUCAAAUCCUAUCUCUCAGACAGAAGCAGGUACUAUAGAGCCCAAGAAUUCUAUAGCUAGUCCAGCUCAAACGGAAGCUGGUAAAGACUUAUCAAAUCCGUUUAUGGUUCUGGGCUUACCAAAAGAUCAACAGACUCAGGGGACUGUUGAUUCCUCUACUUCUCAUAUUCAACAGGCUGAAAAUCCUGUUAUAAAAGAACAGACACAGCAGACUGAUAAUUCUGCUACAAGACUUAUUAGUCCAAUAGAUCUUAAACAGAAAAGCUCAAUUAAUUUUCCAGGAUCAUUUCAAUCAGCUCAAGACCCAGAACAAAUUUCUCAGUCAGAUAUUAGAAAGAUCAAAGAAAUGUUUGAAAAGAUUGAAGAGAUUCAGCAACAAGUUAAACAAAGUACGACGAAGAAAAAGAAAUUACAAAUUAGAAAGAAAAAUAAAGGUAAAAAGAAAAUUGAACAAGAAAGAGAUUUGGAUGAAUUCAAAGAUAAUAAUUCAGAAGAUAACCCAGAAGACUUUACUGACGGAGGAGAUUCUUUAGACAGUAUUGGCAGACAUAAUUAUGCAACAAGAUAAGAGAUUUUUCAGACAGGUGUAAAGAAACAAUCAGACAGCUGGAGAAAAGACAAGAAACCUCUAGAAAAAGAAUCUAUUGAUUGAAGAUUUUUGUCCAGACGUCAAGACUUUUGAAGGUUUUUUACUAUUUACUUUUUGAAAAAUUUGUAAAAGAAUCUUACUAUUUUAUAAAGUAAGAUUUGAUAGGAUAGUUUUUACUAUUUACUUUUUGACGUUUUGAAAAAAGCAAAGAUUCCUUGCUUUUAGAUAACGUCUAUCUUAUCUUUUCCCUCCUAUAAAAGGAGAUCAUUCUUUCAUCUGUAAACACACAAGAAAAUUUAUACAAUACAAGUUCUUAGUUCUCUCAAAAA